GAGCUCAAAUUUGAAAGCUGGUACCUUCGGUGCCCGCGUUGUAAUCUCGAGACGCGUUUUCCGCGCGGCGCUAUGGACAAGUUCCUUGGAACAGGACAUCGUAGAGGGUGAAAAUCCCGUACUUGCCAUGGAUGCACCGUGCUUUGUGAUACGUGCUCAAAGAGUCGAGUUGUUUGGGAUUGCAGCUCAAAAUGGGUGGUAGACUCCAUCUAAAGCUAAAUAUCGGGGAGAGACCGAUAGCGAACAAGUACCGUGAGGGAAAGAUGAAAAGCACUUUGGAAAGAGAGUUAAAAGUACGUGAAAUUGUCGAAAGGGAAGCGCUUGAAGUCAGCCAUGCCGCUCAGGACUCAGCCUGGCUUUUGCUUGGUGUACUUCCUGGGUAGCAAGUCAGCAUUGGUUUGGACCGUCGGAGAAGCAUGGCAGGAAUGUGACGCCCUCGGGCGUGUUAUAGCCUGCCAUUGGAUACGCCGGUCUAGACCAAGGAACGCAGUGCGCCUUAUGGCGGGUCUCGGACACCUUCGCACUAGAUGCGCU
rnacentral:rRNA from 1 species